GCUGGGCAUGGUGAUGCAUGCCUGUAAUCCCAGCUACUCAGGAGGCUGAGGCAGGAGAAUCUCUUGAACCCAGGAGUUGGAGGUUGCAGUGAGCCAAGAUGGUGCCCCUGCACUCCAGCCUGGGCAACAAAGUGAGACCCUAUCUCAA
ensembl:misc_RNA Metazoa_SRP Metazoan signal recognition particle RNA